UUCACCCAUACAAUAAAAUUGCUUUAAGAUGCUGCAUUUGCUGUGUAAAUUGAGCAAGUAUAUAGAGAGUGUAAAAGAGGGGUGAGACAAAAACAGGCUCAGCUUAUACAUGAGGCAAAUAUGCUUCAUUUCCUUCUUCCCUCUAUUUCUUCCUCAUUCCUUAAAAACCUACCGAUACUCCAAUUCAAAUUUUGUUUUUGGUGUUUUAGCAUGUUCUUGUAUCCUUUUUUGUUCACAAUUUUUGUUGCACUGGUUGGGAUAUUACGACUUUAGGAGAAAGCACUUGUAUAGGUGACAAUAGUUGCAGACAUCAUUGUCCCGCCUACCUUAGGUUGGGGUUGUGAGAGACUAAGUGAGGGGAGUGUAGAAAAGGAUAGAUGGUAAAUGAAGGCAGGUUCCAUCCAUACUAAGGGUCCUGCCCACAACUCAGAGUUAGUUGUUUCCAGCCUGCUCUGAAGGGGGCUGGGAUUAAAAAAAAAAAAAAAAAAGAUCCUAAACUCUGCUCAGCUGCCGGUCCAAAAAAGGAGAUGAUCCUCUCAGGGUUCCUGCUGACUGGAGGAGCUUUAGAGGGCAACACGGUGCACUCCUGACACCGUGACCCAUUUGUCUGCAGGCCUCAUCAAAGCUGACGGUGGAUUUGCAGGGUGACGGCCAGUGAGGAUUCCUGCUUUCGUAACCCAGAAGACCAAGUUCGACUGUUGAUGUUUGUUGAGCCAGUGGACCUCCAAGUGCUCGGAUGUGUUUCUGUAGCAACAAAACUAAUAAACACUUCCUCUGAA